GGGUUGUGAGGUUAAGCGACUAAGCGUACACGGUGGAUGCCCUGGCAGUCAGAGGCGAUGAAGGGCGUGCUAAUCUGCGAUAAGCGCCGGUAAGGUGAUAUGAACCGUUAUAACCGGCGAUACCCGAAUGGGGAAACCCAGUGUGAUUCGUCACACUAUCAUUAACUGAAUCCAUAGGUUAAUGAGGCGAACCGGGGGAACUGAAACAUCUAAGUACCCCGAGGAAAAGAAAUCAACCGAGAUUCCCCCAGUAGCGGCGAGCGAACGGGGAGGAGCCCAGAGCCUGAAUCAGCAUGUGUGUUAGUGGAAGCGUCUGGAAAGGCGCGCGAUACAGGGUGAC
rnacentral:rRNA from 2 species